UACAGAGGUCUCAAGCGUUGUUCGGAUUCAUUGGGCGUAAAGGGUGCGUAGGCGGCGCGGUAAGUCGGGUGUGAAAUCUCGGGGCUUAACUCCGGAACUGCAUUCGAUACUGCCGUGCUUGAGGACUGGAGAGGAGACUGGAAUUUACGGUGUAGCGGUGAAAUGCGUAGAUAUCGUAAGGAAGACCAGUGGCGAAGGCAGCCCCCUGGGCCUGUACUGACGCUCAUGCACGAAAGCGUGGGGAGCAAACAGG
rnacentral:rRNA from 1 species